rnacentral:rRNA from 1 species
UACGAAGGUCCCAAGCGUUGUUCGGAAUCACUGGGCGUAAAGGGUGCGUAGGCGGUUUGGUAAGUCAGAUGUGAAAUCCCGGGGCUCAACCCCGGAACUGCAUCCGAUACUGCCAGACUUGAGGACUGGAGAGGUGACUGGAAUUCUCGGUGUAGCAGUGAAAUGCGUAGAGAUCGAGAGGAACACUCGUGGCGUAAGCGAGUCACUGGACAGUAUCUGACGCUGAGGCACGAAGGCCAGGGUAGCGAAAGGG